GGGAGCGUAGCGAAGUGGCUAAACGCGGCAGACUGUAAAUCUGUUCCUCACGGUUCGGUAGUUCGAAUCUACCCGCUCCCACCA
rnacentral:tRNA from 1 species